rnacentral:lncRNA from 1 species
UUACGUUUAGGGAAUUGAUGGCCAACUAGAAUUUGAUUUUUAUGGAAUGUUGUCUGAUAUUAUUCAAUUGGAGUAUAUUGGCAUCCCAUUGAUGAAGUUAGUUCUAUUCAAGUGUGAUUGGUUUGAUAAUACUCCUUAUAUAGGGACACGAGUAGAGAAAAUAAUGUGAUUGUUGAAGUAAGGCAAUCAAAAAGAUAUACUAAAGCAUACGACCCAUUAUUAUUUGCAUAACUAGCAGAACAAGUUUAUUUCACAACAUAUCCCAA